CAAAAGCAAGCAAGGAAAUGGCUCAGCAGAGGUCACCUGUCUUCAUCAGAGGUGGGGUUGAUCAGGAACAGCAACCCCAAACUGAAAAGCCCUUAAAAACCUCUAUAUUUCUGCUUAUAAGGAGGACUGUGUACUUUAAGAUGUGCGUCUGCCAUACUCCUCAUUUGCUGGAAAGCACCACUGCCUAGCAGUGAACACCAGGUCGCCUUCUAACAACUCUGAAGCCUGGAAGUGUCAAGGCAGUACCCAGCUGUCAGGAGCUGCUUUCCUCUUCCUCACCUGUUAAGUCAUUGCAGAGAAGAUAAAAAUUUCUGUGUCACUUGAUAGAAGUGUUUGGUGGAAUCAAACCGAACAUUUGUACCUAGUAAGCGUUGAUAAGUGUAUUCAUGCCAGAUGAAUCUCUAGUGUAUACUGCUAUGC